rnacentral:tRNA from 1 species
GGCGGCAUAGCUCAGUUGGUUAGAGCGGCGGAAUCAUAAUCCGUAGGUCGUUGGUUCAAAUCCGACUGCCGCUA